rnacentral:rRNA from 1 species
CAAAAACAUCGCCUCCUGCAAAAAUCAAUGUAUAGGAGGUCCUGCCUGCCCAGUGACUUUCAGUUUAACGGCCGCGGUAUUUUGACCGUGCUAAGGUAGCGCAAUCACUUGUCUUUUAAAUGGAGACCUGUAUGAAUGGCGGAACGAGGGCUUAACUGUCUCCCCCCUCUAGUCAAUGAAAUUGAUCUGCCCGUGCAGAAGCGGGCAUAUAUAUACAAGACGAGAAGACCCUUUGGAGCUUAAGACAAAUGGCUAAUCUUCGGUUGGGGCGACCGCGGAGAAAAACAAAACCCCCGCGUGGAAUGUAAAACUAAGAGAGACAUCUCUAAGUCACAGAAUAUCUGACUCCGAUCAACGGACCAAGUUACCCUAGGGAUAACAGCGCAAUCCCCUCCAAGAGUCCAUAUCGACGAGAGGGUUUACGACCUCGAUGUUGGAUCAGGACAUCCUAAUGGUGCAGCCGCUAUUAAGGGUUCGUUUGUUCAACGAUUAAAGUCCUACGUGAUCUGA